GGAAACGGACAGAGCCAACCUAUCUGGCUUGCAUUCAGCUGUUCGCGCGUCCGCCCGACGGUCAUCGGACCAGCCUAUGGCCGGUGACUGGCGUGCGUGGCCACGCGAGCAGUGCAUUUGCAAGUGGAGUGCGCUGAGCGGUGCGGAUCAGCGGUUCGAUGCUCGUCGCAGAGGCUUCCGCUUUGGCAGAAGUACCCAGGCGAGCGGAAGACUGUUUGGUCUGCAUUUAUGCUGCAAGGGCGACGGCCUUGCGGAGCCACUCGUCCACGCGGUGUCCGCUCGUAACGGUCGCAUGCGACACGUGCUUGCGGGCGCUGCGUUGGGCGGAUGGCCCCUCGGUCGCCCGGCUCGGCGUAAAAGUUGGUCAUCUCUCCGACCCGUCUUGAAACACGGACCAAGGAGUUUAGCGUAUGCGCGAGUCAUUGGGUGGCAAACCCAAAGGCGCAAUGAAAGUGAAGUGAUGGAUGCGAACCGGGGCGCUACGACGCCUCGGCGCAGCAUGGCCCCGUCCCGAUCGCUUGCGAUGGGGCGGAGGCAGAGCGCAUGCGCUGAGACCCGAAAGAUGGUGAACUAUUCCCGAGCAGGACGAAGCCAGAGGAAACUCUGGUGGAAGUCCGAAGCGGUUCUGACGUGCAAAUCGAUCGU
rnacentral:rRNA from 1 species